AGGCGCGAGCCCGGGAGCGCGCGUGCCCGGAGCCUCCGCAGCGGCGGCGCUUACUACCCGCGGAGGCAACGGGGCACAGCUGGCUUUAAUUCUUUUUAACGCUGUUCCCCAGCUGUCUUUCCCUCGUUACCCGCCCCACGCUCGCACGUGGGUCUCCACCUGCUGUCCCAGUCGCCUCCAGCAGCCCGCCUCUGCCCUCACUAGGAGAGUCCCCCCGGCGCGCACAGGCGCCACCCUCUUCGCCUGGAGGCUCGGUCUUGCUUGGCAGAGCAAGGGGGCGCGCGUGAAGCCUCACGGGAGUUGUAGUUUUUCCCCUUUCCCGAGCUCGGAACGCCCGUUGCAAUCCCUGUUCUUCAGAGGGGAAAAGCACCACCCCAAGGCUGUUGGUUCCCUGAUGCUCCGUCCCUUUGCUUCCUAAUUGCGCUGCGCCUUGGUAGUUCCCUGCAUUAAGGAGGAUCAUGGGACUAAUCACAGCUCUGUGCUGAUUAUCUGUGUGAGCCUAGGCCUGGACACAGUUCUGACUACUGGAAGGUGUUUUCUUUUUCCGCUCGAUCACUGCUGAGUUUGGGUAUGGAUCUGGAAGACUGUCACCUCCUCUCAGUGUGAGUUCAGCGGUGUCCACCUCGGGGAUUCACAGCAUGUGCAAUGUGGCCAUCACAGGGAGCGGCUGCUGAGAGAGGGGAGUGUGUUAGCUGCCGGCCUCUAGUUGCUGUGCCUUCUGGAAUCCUCUGCAGUAUUACGGCAGCCCUACUUCACCCCAUUACAGUCUCCUCAGCUUUUUCUCUGCUGACUGAGCACCACACACAUGCCCAAUGUGGGGUUCCUCAAACAAGCAGUCUCAGAUCCCCAUCAUCAUCACUGCUAAGACUUUCUUAGACUGAAUGGCAGAUUUAGGCUCCCACUACCCAAUUUUCCUUCCUCUGCCUUUUUAAAUGGGUGCCGAAGCUACAUUACCUUCUGAAGCUCUCCCACCAACUCUGGACACCUCAUCCCUGGAUCCUUCCCACAUCCUUUUCCCCCCUCAGCUUACAGGUCAGCUGGGAUGAGGAUACCAAGAGAACUGCCUAAUGGAAGGAAUCUGUUUGCUUCUAACUUAUGACAUGAACAACCUCGGCACACAGAUCGAAGCCCAUGGGAACUUGUACUGCCCUAAAGCAAUCUGCAGAACAGAAUUUGUGAGAGCUAUCUAAGAGAUAUUUACUGCACUCCUUUAAAAAGGACAUAUUGCCGGGUGGUGGUGGCGCACGCCUUUAAUCCCAGCACUCGGGAGGCAGAGCCAGGCGGAUCUCUGUGAGUUCGAGGCCAGCCUGGGCUACCAAGUGAGUUCCAGGAAAGGCGCAAAGCUGCACAGAGAAACCCUGUCUCGAAAAAACAAACAAACAAACAAAAAAAAAAAAAAAAAAAAAAAAGGACAUAUUAUCAAAUCCCUUUAGGCAGUGUUCUCUAUUCCAUCUGACUUCGGGAUUCAAGCUGCAGAGAGAAAAAUCUCUGAAACUCUGAAAAUGUUGUCUAUUUUACCUACCCAGUGUUUAGAAACUUAGGGGGUUGUUGAUAGAAACUUCCGUUCAAAUAAAAUCUAUUCUCAUCGUCCAUAACACACUUGGGAAAUGCUGGGAACAAAGCAAGUCUCAGUGGUGGUCCUGACUCUGCCAGAAUUUGCAGUUUUGCUUUUCCUUGAACUUCAAUUCCCUCAUCUGCAAAACAAGAGAAUUAGAAUCAGUGAUUGAGAGGGAAAAUGAUUAUACUUUAUACAUGCCUGUUCCAUGCAAAACGUGGUUAUGCCAGCAGACCAUAAGAGCCCCAUACUCUAUCGUUCACUAGUUUAUCUACUUUAUCUGUGUGUGUGGGGGGGGGGGAGGUGUUGUGCGAGUAUAUGCAUGUAGAUGCCAGAGACCAGCAUCAGGUGUUGGCCUCUAUCGGUCUCUCCCUUCUUUCUGCCAACUCUUUAGGGACAGGGUCUCUCACUGAGCCUGAGGCUUAUCAGUUCAGCUAGUGGGAUCUGCCUGUCUUUGGCCUCAGAAUUACAGGGACACGCGGCCUCACACAGCCUGUGGGUCUGGGAAUCCGGACUCAGGUCCUUACGAUUAUGCAGCAAGCACUUUACCCUUGAGCCAUUUUUGAGACAGGGUCUUGCUCUAUAACCCAGGCUGGCCUCAACCUCGAUCCUCCUGCCGUCACUUCAGAAUGCUGGUAUGAUAGACCCGAACCAGUACACCCAAAUCCCUGCUGUUGGCUUGGUACUCGGCUGUUACCACCUUCUUAAUGAUUUUCAAAAAGGGGCCCCACAUUUUUAUUUUAUAAUGGUCAUGGAAAUUAUACAGUUUGUCUAUGUACCAUUAUAUCUAAUACUUAUAUCAAUUUAAUGAGAAUGGAUGUAUAUAUCUAUGGCAUGUGGAUAUGGAAAUUAAGAAUCUGACUGGUUAAAAUAAAUUGCUCCAGGUCACAAGAGAAGUGAUGAGCAGAGCCAGGGUUCUAGUCUCCUCCAUCUUCUCUGAAGCCUUUGUUCUCCCACUACGCCAGCUGCCAGGGAAAACACUCGACAAUUCUAAGAAUCUUUUGUUCUGUAAACUACUAGAUCUGUCUAUUAGACAAAAUAGUUUUAUUUAUCCCACUUACUGUCACAGAACUUGAUGGUUCAGUGAAUUAAUGAGUAAUAGACUAAACAUCAGAUGACAGGUCUAGAAGUUAGCCAUGAAGUCCAGCAUGUCUUAUUCUACCAUUACUAUAGUACAUGUGUCCUUGGCCAGCCCAGUUUAAUUCUUUGAGUCUUGUUGUUUCUUCAUGGGUAUGUUGUGAGGAUUAAACAAAACAA